rnacentral:lncRNA from 1 species
UGUUGCUUCGUGCCCAGCUGUGCAAACACCAGUAGCACAGCACCUGGCAAAAUUUUUAUCAGUGUUCCGAAGAAGGAAGAGCAAAGAAAAGCUUGGAGCGAAGCUGCAAGACUGCAUAAACCUUUAUCUGAAAAAUGCAACUACUACUGCUGUGAUGAUCAUUUCAAUCUUGCUGAAGAUGUAGCAAAUUGGAGCCAAUAUAUAUUUUUCAAACAGCAAGGAUUAAGGUUAAGAAUUAGAUUGAAGCCGAAUGUUGUGCCUCACAUUUUUCGGCAUCAGUUUCUACCCAAGGAGUCUCCCCAUGUUGCAAGUGUCAAUGAAGCACGCCAAAGUUUCGACAAUGCUCCUUCGAUCUCUCGUAUUAUAAACAUGAGAGUGUGAGAGCCAAAAAUGAUGCUUCAGCAAUUACUGAAGAUUCCUGUUCUGAAAACUAUACAAAUGAUGCUUCAGACCUGAAUGAGGUGCCCUCUGCCAACACUGAGGAGGAGGAAGAGAGUGUUGAGGCUAAUCAUGUGACCGAAUCAACAACAGGAGAUUCUGCUGUUGAAUAUGAUACAAAUAUCAUUUCAGACUUUAACAGGACUUCCUGCUCUUCAACUGUGAAGAAAAAAAUGGUGAUAGUUCGGAUGAAGCCAGGAGAAAAUAAAGUCCUAGAUCAAUAUUCGGGAGUAAAUGAGCAACCAAAAACCAAGAAACGGAAAAUGCGAGGCGCAACUUGAUUUCGAAGAACAAACUUCAAUGUUGAAAAAUUAAUAUCAAAAGAGGCAUUGAUUUCCAGAGCAUCCUGUAACUCAGAUUGAUUCGAUACCAACAUAGCUUUCAAGAUUAAGCGACGCAGGUGCGGAGAAAGAAGAAAACCGAUGAUACGUGAAAUAUCAUAAGUUUUGUCUUUAUUUUAGUUUUUGGAAUGAGCCGUUAUGAAAAGUUUUGAGAUAGGAGGAGAUGAGACACUAUCAUCUCUCUUGAUCCCAGAUCCUGCCUUUAGUCACAUGCACAGUUUAGGAAGACUAUUCUGUAAAGACAACUCGUCAUCAGUAUUAAUACUUUUUAAGUGAGUUGAAAAUAAAUGAUUUUGCUCUGGUCCUUAAGCAGUAGCAGUCUUUUAGCAAUCCUUGCGCAAUCAAAAGCAUGAUUGUGGUGCUUAACGUCUGUCUGAUAAUUUCUACAUAUCUUUAUUAGUUGAAUUGUUUAAUGUGUAUGAACUCAUACUAUGUGUGCCAUUAAUUUAUUAAUUUCCUCGGAAACUGCUAUGUAGGGAAAGAAGUUGGUAUUCUAGUCAAACGAAAUGAACCAUGAAACUGCAGGAAUGCAUAUUUUGAUUUUGAAAGAUUGAAAUCGUGUGAAUGAAAAAUAUUUCUCAGUAAAUGAAAAAAUUUGUUGAGCGACUUUCGUGGGUCUAGUAUUUUUAUUUUGUCUUCAAUAGUUAGAACAAUUUCAAACUUCAAACUUUCAAUAGUUAUGGAGUAUUCGAUAAAGAAAAUGGAGAAAUCUGCCAUCAAAAAUGUUGUGCGUGAAAAUUACUUCCCAGUGAAUAUUCCACAUUCACAGUUUCGAUUUUGGUGGUAAUGUGAUUUACCGCAUUUUUUCCCAAGAGUUUUCAAUCAUUUCAUGUUUUUUCCUCCUUUAAAAGCCCUUUAGAUGCCAGGUAGCAUUUUAAAUGGAAAUUCAGGUGUAGGAAGUACCAAAUUCUGUCUAUCUUAUUCAUUUUGUGUAGCUUUCAUUGUUUUAGUCUGUUAGAUGUAUUUUAUUAAACCACCUAAGUCAGGAAAAGUGAAUUUUUAUUUACUUAAUUAUUGAGUUUCUACUCCUGUUCCCCUUUUUAUUCACUUACCUUUCUCGGUAUUUUUUAUGUUUUUGUAGGCAUGAUCGCAUUUUAAAAAAUAUCGCAUCAAUUCUAUAAUAUUUUAUUUUAAAUAAUGUUUAUUUACUGAGUCUUAAUAGAUCCACUCAAGCACUGAGAAGAGAAAAGUAGAGGAAGUCAUUAAUGAAGUAGUUAAGUAACAAAAAAGAAAGAAAGGAAAAAAAAAUCGAGAUUUCAGUCUUCUUUGUUUAAAUUAUUUCUGAAUAUUCUCAUUUUGUGCAGAAACAACACAUCUUUGAAAUUGCAAAAAUGUUGCUUGACUUUUCCAUUCAAAGUAGGCACCUAUCCUGUAACUAUCGGGGAGAACCCUUUAAAAUAUUUCUUGGAAGCCUUCACCUUAAAACAAAUAAAUACAUUAAUAAAAAGUCAACAUACAUUA